GCCCGGGUGGUGAAAUUGGUAUACACGAGGGACUUAAAAUCCCUUGGCCGUAAAAGGCCUUGCCGGUUCAAGUCCGGCCCCGGGCA
rnacentral:tRNA from 1 species